ACCGGACGACUGAUAAAUAAUACUUACACUGAACGGGACUCUUGUACCGCGUGACUGCCGUCAGCAGCUUAACAAUGACAAUUUGGGGUUUUCCACAUACGUAGAUCUCCCCGAGCUAUUGGUCCACAUUAAUGAUGCUCUACGACAGCGUUUCUAUUGUUGAAUCGUGGUAGUUUCGUUAUGCUAAUCUGUAACAUUCAACGCACAUAGGAUUGUAUCAAGAAAGAGCAGGACCUUUUUAUGGGGAAAACCACCUCAGUGCUUGAGUGUAGGUUAAAGCAAAAGAGAACAUCGUAUUUGAGGCUGAAGUAGUGGUCAUUCCUCUCCAGAUUUUUCCGUUAUGGAAAUGAGGUCACUUUCUUCGUUGCUAGAAAUCACGCUGCCAUCGCCUUCCAGAGAAAUCGUAUAUAUUUAUAUUACGAGAAGAACCUGUCUUCGGUUUCUUUAUGGAGAGUAUGUAAAGCUCAAGACAACGAACGUGAAUCCACCUUUCAAGAAACUGCGCAUUGACAUGCUAUGAAACCAAGAAGUAAAAUGAAGAAAAAGGAAAAAUGUUCCAGUUCCUGAAAUUUUUACAUGUGUCGCUUAACAGCUUCCGGUUGGCGGACUCUUGACGUGUGCCUUGUGUGCCUUUUAGAUUAGACACGUCAAGUCCCGUUCCAGGAUAGUGAGGUGAUCUGGCCCAUUCACAUUACAGGAUAAAAGUUCUCGGAUAUAAACUGCGGCGGAUCGUCAAUUCAAAACGAGUCUUGGUUCAAAACGAGUUGUUUCUACAACGUUUGAUCAGCUAUAUCUCUUGGCAGCUCAAAAAUGGGGAAACUGACGACCUCCUUGUGCAUAUUCGGAAUGUUGGUGAUCCUUGCUAGUGAAGGAGUGAAUUCCGGACCGAUAGAAUUAGAGUUCGAUCCCGUUGCCACCCUGCCACAACGCGACGCUCGUUUAUUUGGGCUCAGAAACAGACUUGAGGAAUAUAGUCCUUACAAUUACUACGGGUAUGGAUAUCGCCCUUUCUGGGGAAAUUUUGGCGGCUACUUGGGUUUCUUCGGAAAGUAAACCUUGUAGAAAAGCGUAACAUAAUUUAUGAAUUUUGAUGUGAACUGCGGUUAUUGAAUUGUUGCCUUACUACUUAAAUUUUAUUGUCUUUUUUUAAAUCGUAAAACGGUCUGUUUACAGAUUCUAAUUGCAUUACAUGUUUGUUUCUAUUUA